ACCAUGCAGUCGAGCGGUAACAGGUCCAGCUUGCUGGAUGCUGACGAGCGGCGGACGGGUGAGUAACGCAUAGGAAUCUACCCGGUAGUGGGGGAUAACCUGGGGAAACCCAGGCUAAUACCGCAUACGUCCUACGGGAGAAAGGGGGCUUAGGCUCCCGCUAUUGGAUGAGCCUAUGCCGGAUUAGCUGGUUGGUGAGGUAAUGGCUCACCAAGGCGACGAUCCGUAGCUGGUCUGAGAGGAUGAUCAGCCACAUCGGGACUGAGACACGGCCCGAACUCCUACGGGAGGCAGCAGUGGGGAAUAUUGGACAAUGGGGGCAACCCUGAUCCAGCCAUGCCGCGUGUGUGAAGAAGGCCCUCGGGUUGUAAAGCACUUUCAGCGAGGAAGAACGCCUGUCGGUUAAUACCCGGCAGGAAAGACAUCACUCGCAGAAGAAGCACCGGCUAACUCCGUGCCAGCAGCCGCGGUAAUACGGAGGGUGCAAGCGUUAAUCGGAAUUACUGGGCGUAAAGCGCGCGUAGGUGGCUUGAUAAGCCGGUUGUGAAAGCCCCGGGCUCAACCUGGGAACGGCAUCCGGAACUAUUAGGCUAGAGUGCAGGAGAGGAAGGUAGAAUUCCCGGUGUAGCGGUGAAAUGCGUAGAGAUCGGGAGGAAUACCAGUGGCGAAGGCGGCCUUCUGGACUGACACUGACACUGAGGUGCGAAAGCGUGGGUAGCAAACAGGAUUAGAUACCCUGGUAGUCCACGCCGUAAACGAUGUCGACCAGCCGUUGGGUGCCUAGCGCACUUUGUGGCGAA
rnacentral:rRNA from 1 species